rnacentral:rRNA from 1 species
CGGGGGCUGCGGUGAGGAAUAUUGGUCAAUGGGCGCGAGCCUGAACCAGCCAAGUAGCGUGAAGGAUGACUGCCCUACGGGUUGUAAACUUCUUUUAUAAAGGAAUAAAGUGAGGCACGUGUGCCUUUUUGUAUGUACUUUAUGAAUAAGGAUCGGCUAACUCCGUGCCAGCAGCCGCGGUAAUACGGAGGAUCCGAGCGUUAUCCGGAUUUAUUGGGUUAAAAGGGAGCGUAGAUGGGUUGUUAAGUCAGUUGUGAAAGUUUGCGGCUCAACCGUAAAAUUGCAAUUGAUACUGGCAGCCUUGAGUACAGUUGAGGUAGGCGGAAUUCGUGGUGUAGCGGUGAAAUGCUUAGAUAUCACGAAGAACUCCGAUUGCGAAGGCAGCUUACUAAACUGCCACUGACAUUGAUGCUCGAAAGUGUGGGUAUCAAACAGGAUUAGAUACCCUUGUGUC